rnacentral:lncRNA from 1 species
GGGAUUACAGGUGUGAGCCACCACGCCUGGCCAACUUUCCUAGGUGAUUCCAACAUGCAGUAUGUAAUAUACACCAUGGAAUACUAUACAGCCAUAAGAAAGGAAUGAGAUCAUGUUCUUUGCAGGCACAUGGAUGAAGCUAGAAGCCAUUAUCCUCAGCAAACUAACACAGGAAGAGAAAACCAAACACUGCAUGUUCUCAUAAGUGGGAGUUUAACAAUGAGAACACAUGGACACAGCGAGUGGAACAACACACACAAGGGCCUGUGGGGGGUGGAGGAUGGGAGGGAGAGCAGCAGGACAAAUAGCUAAUGCAUGUGGGGCUUAAAACCUAGAUGAUGG